rnacentral:misc_RNA from 1 species
GAUGAAGAACGCAGCAAAAUGCGAUAAGUAAUGUGAAUUGCAGAAUUCAGUGAAUCAUCGAAUCUUUGAACGCACAUUGCGCCCGCUGGUAUUCCGGCGGGCAUGCCUGUUCGAGCGUCAUUUCAACCCUCAAGCCCCCGGGUUUGGUGUUGGGGAUCGGCUCUGCCCUUCUGGGCGGUGCCGCCCCCGAAAUACAUUGGCGGUCUCGCUGCAGCCUCCAUUGCGUAGUAGCUAACACCUCGCAACUGGAACGCGGCGCGGCCAUGCCGUAAAACCCCAACUUCUGAAUGUUGACCUCGGAUCCGGUAGGAAUACCCGCUGAACUUAAGCAUAUCAAUAAGCGGAGGA